GACGAACGCUGGCGGCGUGCCUAAUACAUGCAAGUAGAACGCUGAAGGAGGAGCUUGCUUCUCUGGAUGAGUUGCGAACGGGUGAGUAACGCGUAGGUAACCUGCCUGUUAGCGGGGGAUAACUAUUUGAAACGAUAGCUAAUACCGCAUAAUAGUAGAUGUUGCAUGACAUUUGCUUAAAAGGUGCAAUUGCAUCACUACCAGAUGGACCUGCGUUGUAUUAGCUAGUUGGUGGGGUAACGGCUCACCAAGGCGACGAUACAUAGCCGACCUGAGAGGGGGGUAGGCCACACUGGGACUGGGACACGGCCCAGACUCCUACGGGAGGCAGCAGUAGGGGAUCUUCGGCAAUAGACGGAAGGCUGACCGAGCAACGCCGCGUGAGGGAAGAAGGUUUUCGGAUCGUAAAGCUCUGUUGUAAGAGAAGAACGAGUGGGAGAGUGGAAAGUGCACACUGUGACGGUAUCUUACCAGAAAGGGACGGCUAACUACGUG
rnacentral:rRNA from 1 species